rnacentral:rRNA from 1 species
GGGUUGUGAGGUUAAGCGACUAAGCGUACACGGUGGAUGCCCUGGCAGUCAGAGGCGAUGAAGGACGUGCUAAUCUGCGAUAAGCGCCGGUAAGGUGAUAUGAACCGUUAUAACCGGCGAUUUCCGAAUGGGGAAACCCAGUGUGACUCGUCACACUAUCAUUAACUGAAUCCAUAGGUUAAUGAGGCGAACCGGGGGAACUGAAACAUCUAAGUACCCCGAGGAAAAGAAAUCAACCGAGAUUCCCCCAGUAGCGGCGAGCGAACGGGGAGGAGCCCAGAGCCUGAAUCAGCAUGUGUGUUAGUGGAAGCGUCUGGAAAGGCGCGCGAUACAGGGUGACAGCCCCGUACACAAAAGCGCAUGUGCUGUGAGCUCGAUGAGUAGGGCGGGACACGUGGUAUCCUGUCUGAAUAUGGGGGGACCAUCCUCCAAGGCUAAAUACUCCUGACUGACCGAUAGUGAACCAGUACCGUGAGGGAAAGGCGAAAAGAACCCCGGCGAGGGGAGUGAAAAAGAACCUGAAACCGUGUACGUACAAGCAGUGGGAGCCCCACCACUAAGCCAGUGGUGAACUCCACAUACGCAUCCUUUGCUGAGGAUACGGUUAACGGAGCGCAAGCGACGUUCAACCGCAAAAGAAGCAGAGGGGGCUUAGUGGUGGGGUGACUGCGUACCUUUUGUAUAAUGGGUCAGCGACUUAUAUUCUGUAGCAAGGUUAACCGAAUAGGGGAGCCGGAGGGAAACCGAGUCUUAAUUGGGCGUUAAGUUGCAGGGUAUAGACCCGAAACCCGGUGAUCUAGCCAUGGGCAGGUUGAAGGUUGGGUAACACUAACUGGAGGACCGAACCGACUAAUGUUGAAAAAUUAGCGGAUGACCUGUGGCUGGGGGUGAAAGGCCAAUCAAACCGGGAGAUAGCUGGUUCUCCCCGAAAGCUAUUUAGGUAGCGCCUCGUGAAUUCAUCUCCGGGGGUAGAGCACUGUUUCGGCUAGGGGGCCAUCCCGGCUUACCAACCCGAUGCAAACUGCGAAUACCGGAGAAUGUUAUCACGGGAGACACACGGCGGGUGCUAACGUCCGUCGUGAAGAGGGAAACAACCCAGACCGCCAGCUAAGGUCCCAAAGUCAUGGUUAAGUGGGAAACGAUGUGGGAAGGCCCAGACAGCCAGGAUGUUGGCUUAGAAGCAGCCAUCAUUUAAAGAAAGCGUAAUAGCUCACUGGUCGAGUCGGCCUGCGCGGAAGAUGUAACGGGGCUAAACCAUGCACCGAAGCUGCGGCAGCGACACUCAGGUGUUGUUGGGUAGGGGAGCGUUCUGUAAGCCUGUGAAGGUGGCCUGUGAGGGUUGCUGGAGGUAUCAGAAGUGCGAAUGCUGACAUAAGUAACGAUAAAGCGGGUGAAAAGCCCGCUCGCCGGAAGACCAAGGGUUCCUGUCCAACGUUAAUCGGGGCAGGGUGAGUCGACCCCUAAGGCGAGGCCGAAAGGCGUAGUCGAUGGGAAACGGGUUAAUAUUCCCGUACUUGGUGUUACUGCGAAGGGGGGACGGAGAAGGCUAUGUUGGCCGGGCGACGGUUGUCCCGGUUUAAGCGUGUAGGUGUGUGUUCCAGGUAAAUCCGGUUCACUUUAACACUGAGGCGUGACGACGAGGCACUACGGUGCUGAAGCAACAAAUGCCCUGCUUCCAGGAAAAGCCUCUAAGCAUCAGGUAACAUCAAAUCGUACCCCAAACCGACACAGGUGGUCAGGUAGAGAAUACCAAGGCGCUUGAGAGAACUCGGGUGAAGGAACUAGGCAAAAUGGUGCCGUAACUUCGGGAGAAGGCACGCUGACACGUAGGUGAAGUGAUUUACUCAUGGAGCUGAAGUCAGUCGAAGAUACCAGCUGGCUGCAACUGUUUAUUAAAAACACAGCACUGUGCAAACACGAAAGUGGACGUAUACGGUGUGACGCCUGCCCGGUGCCGGAAGGUUAAUUGAUGGGGUCAGCGCAAGCGAAGCUCCUGAUCGAAGCCCCGGUAAACGGCGGCCGUAACUAUAACGGUCCUAAGGUAGCGAAAUUCCUUGUCGGGUAAGUUCCGACCUGCACGAAUGGCGUAAUGAUGGCCAGGCUGUCUCCACCCGAGACUCAGUGAAAUUGAACUCGCUGUGAAGAUGCAGUGUACCCGCGGCAAGACGGAAAGACCCCGUGAACCUUUACUAUAGCUUGACACUGAACAUUGAGCCUUGAUGUGUAGGAUAGGUGGGAGGCUUUGAAGUGUGGACGCCAGUCUGCAUGGAGCCGACCUUGAAAUACCACCCUUUAAUGUUUGAUGUUCUAACGUGGACCCGUGAUCCGGGUUGCGGACAGUGUCUGGUGGGUAGUUUGACUGGGGCGGUCUCCUCCUAAAGAGUAACGGAGGAGCACGAAGGUUGGCUAAUCCUGGUCGGACAUCAGGAGGUUAGUGCAAUGGCAUAAGCCAGCUUGACUGCGAGCGUGACGGCGCGAGCAGGUGCGAAAGCAGGUCAUAGUGAUCCGGUGGUUCUGAAUGGAAGGGCCAUCGCUCAACGGAUAAAAGGUACUCCGGGGAUAACAGGCUGAUACCGCCCAAGAGUUCAUAUCGACGGCGGUGUUUGGCACCUCGAUGUCGGCUCAUCACAUCCUGGGGCUGAAGUAGGUCCCAAGGGUAUGGCUGUUCGCCAUUUAAAGUGGUACGCGAGCUGGGUUUAGAACGUCGUGAGACAGUUCGGUCCCUAUCUGCCGUGGGCGCUGGAGAACUGAGGGGGGCUGCUCCUAGUACGAGAGGACCGGAGUGGACGCAUCACUGGUGUUCGGGUUGUCAUGCCAAUGGCACUGCCCGGUAGCUAAAUGCGGAAGAGAUAAGUGCUGAAAGCAUCUAAGCACGAAACUUGCCCCGAGAUGAGUUCUCCCUGAGACUUUAGGUCUCCUGAAGGAACGUUGAAGACGACGACGUUGAUAGGCCGGGUGUGUAAGCGCAGCGAUGCGUUGAGCUAACCGGUACUAAUGAACCGUGAGGCUUAACCUUACAACGCCGAAG